UGAGUUAGAUGGAUCAGACCCGAAACCGAGUGAUCUAGGCAUGACCAGGAUGAAGGUAAGGUAACACUUACUGGAGGUCCGAACCCACACCUGUUGAAAAAGGUCGGGAUGAGUUGUGCCUAGGGGUGAAAGGCCAAUCAAACUCGGAGAUAGCUGGUUCUCCGCGAAAUCUAUUUAGGUAGAGCGUCAUCCGAAUACCCUCGGGGGUAGAGCACUGGAUGGGUAAUGGGGCCCCACAGGCUUACUGAUCCUAACCAAACUCCGAAUACCGAGGAGUACUAGAUGGCAGACACACAGCGGAUGCUAACGUCCGUUGUGAAGAGGGAAACAACCCUGACCUACAGCUAAGGCCCCUAAUUCAUGGCUAAGUGGGAAAGCAGGUGAGACGACCAAAACAACCAGGAGGUUGGCUUAGAAGCAGCCAUCCUUUAAAG
rnacentral:rRNA from 1 species